rnacentral:misc_RNA from 1 species
GGGAAGAGAAGGAAUCAAAGGCCAUGAAUGGCAGAAGAGGUGGGAAAUUGCUUUCUCCAAUGGCUUCCAGAGGACUGAUAAUGAGGUGGUGUCAGAGGCAGUGGCAACCGACAUGGUUGGAUCUACUGCGGUUGUAGUCGUUCUAUCUGGCUGCCAGAUUAUUGCAUCCAAUUGCGGUGAUUCUCGGGCGGUUCUUUGCCAAAGGAAUAAAGCGAUUCCAUUGACAGUGGAUCAAAAGCCUGAUAGACAGGAUGAACUCAUGAGAAUUGAAAGAGAGGGAGGCAAAGUCAUAAA